rnacentral:sRNA from 1 species
UGCCAGUUUUACAGGCUUUGGGGCUCUGAGAAAGUACCUGUGAGUCACGAAGACGAUGUUGGUUGGUUUUCAUAGCCAUCCUGAGAGGCCUGAAGAAGAAAGGCAUUCACCACCCAACACCCAUUCAGAUCCAGGGCAUCCCCACCAUUCUAUCUGGCCGUGACAUGAUAGGCAUCGCCUUCACGGGUUCAGGCAAGACACUGGUGUUCACGUUGCCUGUCAUCAUGUUCUGCCUGGAACAAGAGAAGAGGUUACCUUUCUCAAAGCGCGAAGGGCCCUAUGGACUCAUCAUCUGCCCCUCGGUAAGAUAGGCUGGCCUGGAGGGCAGGCCAGAGACUGGGGCUGCCAUCUGGUGCCAGCCUUUGUCCCUCUGCCUGCAGCGGGAGCUGGCCCGGCAGACCCAUGGCAUCCUGGAGUACUACUGCCGCCUGCUGCAGGAGGACAGCUCACCACUCCUGCGCUGCGCCCUCUGCAUUGGGGGCAUGUCCGUGAAAGAGCAGAUGGAGACCAUCCGACACGGUGUACACAUGAUGGUGGCCACCCCAGGGCGCCUCAUGGAUUUGCUGCAGAAGAAGAUGGUCAGCCUAGACAUCUGUCGCUACCUGGCCCUGGACGAGGCUGACCGCAUGAUCGACAUGGGCUUCGAGGGUGACAUCCGUACCAUCUUCUCCUACUUCAAGGGCCAGCGACAGACCCUGCUCUUCAGUGCCACCAUGCCGAAGAAGAUUCAGAACUUUGCUAAGAGUGCCCUUGUAAAGCCUGUCACCAUCAAUGUGGGGCGCGCUGGGGCUGCCAGCCUGGAUGUCAUCCAGGAGGUAGAAUAUGUGAAGGAGGAGGCCAAGAUGGUGUACCUGCUCGAGUGCCUGCAGAAGACACCCCCGCCUGUACUCAUCUUUGCAGAGAAGAAGGCAGACGUGGACGCCAUCCAUGAGUACCUGCUGCUCAAGGGGGUUGAGGCUGUAGCCAUCCAUGGGGGCAAAGACCAGGAGGAACGGACUAAGGCCAUCGAGGCAUUCCGGGAGGGCAAGAAGGAUGUCCUAGUGGCCACAGACGUUGCCUCCAAGGGCCUGGACUUCCCUGCCAUCCAGCACGUCAUCAAUUAUGACAUGCCAGAGGAGAUUGAGAACUAUGUACACCGGAUUGGCCGCACCGGGCGCUCGGGAAACACAGGCAUCGCCACUACCUUCAUCAACAAAGCCUGUGAUGAGUCAGUGCUGAUGGACCUCAAAGCGCUGCUGCUGGAAGCCAAGCAGAAGGUGCCGCCCGUGCUGCAGGUGCUGCAUUGCGGGGACGAGUCCAUGCUGGACAUUGGAGGAGAGCGCGGCUGUGCCUUCUGCGGGGGCCUGGGCCAUCGGAUCACUGACUGCCCCAAACUCGAGGCUAUGCAGACCAAGCAGGUCAGCAACAUCGGCCGCAAGGACUACCUGGCCCACAGCUCCAUGGACUUCUGAGCCGACAGUCUUCCCUCCUCUCCAAGAGGCCUCAGUCCCCAAGACUGCCACCACUCUACACACACAGCAGCCCCCUGGACAGAAUCAGCAUUUCAGCUCAGCUGGCCUGGACUGGGCCAGGCUGGUCCUGGCUGCCUGUUCCCUGUGCUCCUCAGAAUUACUAUUUUUGUUUCCUUUCACCCCAGCUGCCA